rnacentral:rRNA from 1 species
GGGCCCGCACAAGCGGUGGAGCAUGUGGUUUAAUUCGAUGAUACGCGAGGAACCUUACCAGGACUUAAAUGUAAGUUGCAUGAUUCAGAAAUGAAUCUUUCUUCGGACUACUUACAAGGUGCUGCAUGGUUGUCGUCAGCUCGUGCCGUGAGGUGUCAGGUUAAGUCCUAUAACGAGCGCAACCCCUAUCGUUAGUUGCCAUCAAGUAAAGUUGGGAACUCUAGCGAAACUGCCGGUGCAAACCGCGAGGAAGGUGGGGAUGACGUCAAAUCAUCACGGCCCUUACGUCCUGGGCUACACACGUGCUACAAUGGCCGGUACAGAGGGCAGCCACACCGCAAGGUGGAG